rnacentral:rRNA from 1 species
AGUGAACGCUGGCGGCGUGCCUAAUACAUGCAAGUCGAACGAAGUGGCGCACGGGUGAGUAAUAUAUAGGUAAAAUGCCCUCCACAGAGGAACAACAGUUGGAAAAGACUGCUAAUACCCCAUAGUGUAGGAUGAGACUAUAUCGUAUCAGCUAGUUGGUAAGGUAAUGGCUUACCAAGGCCAUGAUGCGUAACUGGGCUGAGAGGAUGAUCAGUAUCAUUGGAACUUAGACACGGUCCAAACUCCUUCGGGAGGCAGCCGUACGGAAUAUUGCGCAAUGGUGGAAACCCUGACGCAGCAUCGCCGCGUGGAGGAUGACACUUUUCGGAGCGUAAACUCCUUUUAUCCGGAAAGCGGUACCUGAUGAAUAAGCACCGGCUAACUCCGUGCCAGCAGCCGCGGUAAUUC